rnacentral:rRNA from 1 species
CCUACGGGAGGCAGCAGUGGGGAAUAUUGCACAAUGGGCGAAACCCUGAUGCAGCGAUGCCGCGUGAGUGAAGAAGGAAUUCGUUACGUAAAGCACUAUCAGCAGGGAAGAAAGUGAUGGUACCUGAGAAAGAAGCCCCGGCUAACUACGUGCCAGCAGCCGCGGUAAUACGUAGGGUGCAAGCGUUAGCCGGAUUUACUGGGGGUAAAGGGAGCGUAGACGGUGCGCCAAGUCUGGUGUGAAAUCCCGCAGCUUAACCGGGGAACUGCUUUGGAAACUGGCGAACUAGAGUGCUGGAGGGGGAGGUAGAAUUCCAGGUGUAGCGGUGAAAUGCGUAGAGAUUAGGAGGAACACUGGUGGCGAAGGCGGCUUCCUGGACCGUAACUGACGUUGAGGCUCGAAAGCGUGGGGAGCAAACAGGAUUAGAUACCCGAGUAGUC